rnacentral:rRNA from 1 species
GCGACCCCAGGUCAGGCGGGGCUACCCGCUGAAUUUAAGCAUAUCAUA